rnacentral:lncRNA from 1 species
AUGUUCAGUUUAGGGUUUAAAACCCUAAUGCUGACUAAAGGAAAAGUUUUGUUUAGGGUUUAAAACCCUAAUGCUGACUGAAUGGAAAGAGUUCAGUUUAGGGUUUAAAACCUUAAUGCUGAUUAAAGGAAAAGUUCAGUUUAAGGUUUAAAACCCUAAUGCUGACUGAAUGGAAAAAGUUCAGUUUAGGGUUUAAAACCCUAAUGCUGACUGAAUGGAAAAGUUCAGUUUAGGGUUUAAAACCCUAAUGCUGAUUAAAGGAAAAGUUCAGUUUAGGGUUUUAAAACCCUAAUGCUGAUUAAAGGAAAAGUUCAGUUUAGGGUUGAAAACCCUAAUGCUGACUGACUGGGGACAAAGUUCGAGGAUACUAACUGACCUUUUUUUUUUGAAUUUUCUUGUUUUAGUAGAAGAUAAAAGGGAGUCUCGUGGAAACUUACCUUUCGAGUGAAUUCCUUAUUGCCAAACUAUUUCUUGUACCCAUGUACCUUCUUCUUUGGGUGACAC